AUUCUGCCCAUGCGGGGAAGGAUGAGAAGCUUCAACCAAGGUUCGACUUGAGCGCCAGCGAGAGAGCGUUGCCGCAGGCAACGACCCGAANNGCAGCGCUGAGUAAUCCUUCUCCCACCACCA
rnacentral:sRNA from 1 species